AGUGAACGCUGGCGGUAGGCCUAACACAUGCAAGUCGAACGGCAGCACAGUAAGAGCUUGCUCUUACGGGUGGCGAGUGGCGGACGGGUGAGGAAUACAUCGGAAUCUACUUUUUCGUGGGGGAUAACGUAGGGAAACUUACGCUAAUACCGCAUACGACCUACGGGUGAAAGCAGGGGAUCUUCGGACCUUGCGCGAUUGAAUGAGCCGAUGCCGGAUUAGCUAGUUGGCGGGGUAAAGGCCCACCAAGGCGACGAUCCGUAGCUGGUCUGAGAGGAUGAUCAGCCACACUGGAACUGAGACACGGUCCAGACUCCUACGGGAGGCAGCAGUGGGGAAUAUUGGACAAUGGGCGCAAGCCUGACCCAGCCAUACCGCGUGGGUGAAGAAGGCCUUCGGGUUGUAAAGCCCUUUUGUUGGGAAAGAAAAGCAGCAGGUUAAUACCCCGCUGUUCUGACGGUACCCAAAGAAUAAGCACCGGCUAACUUCGUG
rnacentral:rRNA from 1 species